rnacentral:lncRNA from 1 species
GUAACGACCCUCAAAAUGAAAUAGGAUAAUUAGAGCUUCACAUGCGUGUUAGUAGUUGAUAAACUUGUAUAAAGAGUUGGUAAAUUUCCCCCUUGGCUAAUUAAAUGUUUGGGCAUUUAUUUUAAGUUGUUUUUAUUAUUUUAGGUAUAUUAGAUCUUUUAAUUGAGGGCUAUAACUAUAUUCUUCAAAUUAGAAUUUCCAAAGUCUUUCUCUCUCUA